rnacentral:rRNA from 1 species
GACGAACGCUGGCGGCGUGCUUAACACAUGCAAGUCGUACGGUAAGGCCCUUUCGGGGGUACACGAGUGGCGAACGGGUGAGUAACACGUGAGUAACCUGCCCACAACUUUGGGAUAACGCUAGGAAACUGGUGCUAAUACUGGAUAUGUGCUCCUGCUGCAUGGUGGGGGUUGGAAAGCUCCGGCGGUUGUGGAUGGACUCGCGGCCUAUCAGCUUGUUGGUGGGGUAGUGGCCUACCAAGGCGGCGACGGGUAGCCGGCCUGAGAGGAUGACCGGCCACAUUGGGACUGAGAUACGGCCCAGACUCCUACGGGAGGCAGCAGGGGGGAAUAUUGCACAAUGGGCGCAAGCCUGAUGCAGCAACGCCGCGUGCGGGAUGACGGACUUCGGGUUGUAAACCGCUUUCAGCAGGGACGAAGCUUUUUGUGACGGUACCUGCAGAAGAAGCACCGGCUAACUACGUG